rnacentral:tRNA from 1 species
CGCUAAGAAGCUUAUUCGGGCCUUAAGCGUUAGCCUUUUAAGCUAAAGAAUGGUGCCCCCCAACCACCCCUAGCGA